AUGGCCCUAUCACGUUUAAACAAUGGUUUUCAUCCAAUCACCGAAGUUAAGCACCAUCAAGCCUGGUCAGUACCUAGAUGGGUGACCAUUUGGAGAUACCAGGUGUUGUAAG